UUUAUUGGAGAGUUUGAUCCUGGCUCAGGACGAACGCUGGCGGCGUGCCUAAUACAUGCAAGUCGAGCGAG
rnacentral:rRNA from 1 species